UACGUAGGGGGCAAGCGUUGUCCGGAAUCAUUGGGCGUAAAGAGCGUGUAGGCGGCUUGGUAAGUCCGCUGUGAAAGUCCAGGGCUCAACCCUGGAAUGCCGGUGGAAACUGUCAAGCUUGAGUCCGGAAGAGGCGAGUGGAAUUCCUGGUGUAGCGGUGAAAUGCGCAGAUAUCAGGAGGAACACCAAUGGCGAAGGCAGCUCGCUGGGACGGUACUGACGCUGAGACGCGAAAGCGUGGGGAGCAAACGGG
rnacentral:rRNA from 1 species